ensembl:lncRNA
CGAGGGCCGGUGCUCAGCCGGUAACUACCGUACCGGAACGCAACUCCAGUUUCGGUGUAGGGUCCGUGUACCCUUUGAUAGUCCCUUUUACCGUAAAAAACAGAAAAUGAAAACAUUCUUUUCUCGUUUUUCGUUUUUAAUCAAAAGCGGUAAAACGGAAGGGGACAGUCGUUUUCUCGUUAAUCCUUUAAAACCAAACUCACAACCCUUCUUACUCCGUUAAUCCCUUUUGGGGUUUUGAAGGGACUAUCAAAAGGUAAAGGGACCGUGUGGCUACAGCAGCUAGCUAGCCAGCUACCUUCUAUUCACAUGUAUUUAAGUCGGUGUUUCCCCUCCGUUAUUAAAGUCGAAAAGCGACGUUCCUUCGGGUGUUGUUUGUCGUUAAGCUGCAUACAAAUGUCUUAACUUCCUUCCGCAGAUGACGGGAGAUCUUUUGAUUUAUUUCGCUUUGUCUUUAUUCUACGCAACAAAGGGUCAACUAAAUAUACAAUUAAUACAUUCUGUCCUCUGCAGCUCUUCUGUGUUGCACGUCAAUACUUUGAGACAAACAAGGUCAAUCUAACGUAAGUGCUUUUCAAUAUAUGUUACAUAUCUGUCCUUCCUGCACAAUGAGCAUGAAUCUAAAAUUAAAUUAUUAAUAUUCCCCAAAUUCCAAUUAACUACUCUUCUGGCUGUUGGUAGAUAAACACUUCAAUCAUACUGUAAACUUUAAACAAUUCAUAUAUUGUUCAUAGUUUGAAGUUAAACAAUUCGAAGCUGUAGUUUGAAGCCAAGUGGUUUUUAUUUGUCUAUAUUUAGGGUAUUGUUCAUUGUUCAAUUUCAUGUAUGGGUUCAGACACUGGUAUUGUUUUAAAUGUGUCGGUUUAGCAUCGGUAGCUGGUUAGCUUAGCAUAAUGACUGCAGACAAGAGGGCUCGAACGGGAGGUUUAACGACCCGGAUUCAAGAGUUUAUAUAUUUCCGACUUGAAACAAUGGACCAAAAUCAAAAAUCGUUCUUUAUUUAUUCUUUAAAGUGUUUGCUUUCAAGAUCAAGAUGAUCGGGUCAUAGAAAACAAACAGAGCAAAGUGUUUUAUGCAGCAUGUGAAGUGGAUGAGCUCCAUCAAUACAGAUACACCGUCCACACACACGUUUACUUUAAAGGCUCAUUUCCAUAUUCAAGAUACCUUCACUGUAACCAUAGAGACGUGACAUCAUGAUGGAACAUUUCUCCAUGUUCCAUGUUCUAAGCUCCAUGUUCCAUGUUCUAUGCUCCAUGUUCUAAGCUCCAUGUUCUAAGCUCCGUUCACCUCAGCAUAAGGUCUGUGGCACAUUCAGUCAGUUAGUUUCAAACUACACACACUGAAGUUUUCCAGAGAGAAACUUGCAGAAAGUAACCGUAAGGCCUUAGGAGUGUGAAGAGGAGAUGAAGACGCCUUCUGCUGCACUCAACAGAGCUGAAGACCAACAGGACGCAAACAGGACAUCAUCAGGACGUCACGUCACCGGGGCGCGCUGAGAGUCGACCCCUCAGGAGCAGCUCCAGAUCCACACAAAGACUCACUAACGUUUCUAUUUUCCAACAGGCCCUUUUCCCCCUCUAUCACUUUCUGGCCCUCUCCCCACCCUCCACCCUCUCUCUUCUUUUCCCCCUCUAUCUGUUUCUGCCCCCACUCUCCCAUUGUCCCCCCCACUCUCUUCCCCCCGCCCCCAUCACUCUCCCUUCCUCCCCACUUCAUUUUUUUCAUUUUUCAUUUUUUUCAUUUUUCAUUUUUUUCAUUUUUCAUUUUUUUCAUUUUUCAAACGAACAAAACGUUUGACCUGGAUUUGCUCCAUAUAUGUGUGUGUGUGUGUGUGUGUGUGUGUGUGUGUGUGUGUGUGUGUGUGAGAGACUUUCUUCAGGUGUGCUGGGGACGUCCCUCCUGCAGCUGACCAUCAUGGGGGUAAAUGGCUGUGCCAAGCCAGUGUGGGGGGAUCUUCAGUGGAAGCCAGAGCGGAACCAGAGACGCGUGAAAAAGGAAAAGGAAAAAGGAGCCGUA